ensembl:lncRNA
AUGAAGCUGUUAAAUACAACAUCAAACACAGGGCAAGCCCAGCAGGGGGUCUUCUGUCAGUCUGACGUCCUUUCUACUGAGGGUCUGUCUGGUGUGUGUGUUGGUGGCGGGGCCCCCUGCAGAACGGAGAAGGCCUUCGUUGCUCCUCCAUAUCGCUGCAGCGUGAUGACAUCACAACACGGAAACAAGAGAGGGGGAGGGGUGGGAGGGAGGGAGGGAGGGGAUGAGAAAGAGAGGAGGAGAGAGAGAGAGAGAAGGGCUGAUAACCAAGACAACGACACAAAGAUGGCGACAGAUUCCACUGCGGGACGCCAACGGGAGUCCAGAUUAACAGAUCGUCCUGCGGAGUACCAGAACCGUUGUCCGUUACAACGGGACGACGAUCGGCCUGACACCGCGACACGACCACCACCGACCCCGCCACAUCAUCGCCACGCCAUGUAGCCUCCUAGAGGAGGACAGAGACCUGGAGGAUAAACAACACCAACAGACAGACAGAGACCUGGAGGAUAAACAACACCAACAGACAGACAGAGACCUGGAGGAUAAACAACACCAACAGACAGACAGAGACCUGGAGGAUAAACAACACCAACAAACAGACAGAGACCUGGAGGAUAAACAACACCAACAGACAGACAGAGACCUGGAGGAUAAACAACACCAACAGACAGACAGUAGCUACAGAUGAGUUAUAUAGAGUUUACACAGACUGAGAUAUGACUCUGGUCUGGACUACAGAUGAGUUAUAUAGAGUUUACACAGACUGAGAUAUGACUCUGGUCUGGACUACAGGGGAGUUAUAUAGAGUUUACACAGACUGAGAUAUGACUCUGGUCUGGACUACAGGGGAGUUAUAUAGAGUUUACACAGACUGAGAUAUGACUCUAGUCUGGACGACAGAUGAGUUAUAUAGAGUUUACACAGACUGAGAUAUGGCUCUGGUCUGGACUACAGAUGAGUUAUAUAGAGUUUACACAGACUGAGAUAUGACUCUAGUCUGGACUACAGGGGAGUUAUAUAGAGUUUACACAGACUGAGAUAUGACUCUAGUCUGGACGACAGAUGAGUUAUAUAGAGUUUACACAGACUGAGAUAUGGCUCUGGUCUGGACUACAGAUGAGUUAUAUAGAGUUUACACAGACUGAGAUAUGGCUCUGGUCUGGACUACAGGGGAGUUAUAUAGAGUUUACACAGACUGAGAUAUGACUCUAGUCUGGACUACAGGGGAGUUAUAUAGAGUUUACACAGACUGAGAUAUGACUCUGGUCUGGACUACAGAUGAGUUAUAUAGAGUUUACACAGACUGAGAUAUGACUCUGGUUACAGAAAUUGGAGUCUGUCUGUCUCUCUCCUCUGUUCUAUCCAAUCCCAAUUCUCUCUCCCUAUCGAUCUCCUUCCCCAUUAGUUGAGCUACCUACUUGACCCCCCCCUCUCUGUCUCUCUCUACCCCCCCCCCCCUCUCUCUCUCUCUCUCUCUCUCUCUCCCUCACCUCUUCUCUCUCCCUCCUCUUUCCCCUCUCUCUCUCCCUCCCCUCCUCUCUCUCUCCCUCCCCUCCUCUCUCUCCCUGUCUCUCUCCCUGCUCUCUCUCUCCCUCCUCUCUCUCUCACUCUCUCUCUCUCUCUCCCUCACCUCCUCUCGCUCCCUCCCUCCUCACACUCCCUGUCUCUCUCCCCUCUCUCUCUCUCUCCCUCUUCUCUCUCCCUCCUCUCCUCACUCUCCCUGUCUCUCUCCCUCCCCUCCUCACUCUCCCUGUCUCUCUCCCUCCACUCCUCACUCUCCCUGUCUCUCUCCCUCCUCUCCUCUCUCUCCCUUCACUCAUCUACUCCCUUCACUCAGUAAGAUAUUGGAGGGUAUUGUGAGUCGACAAAUAUGGGAGUACAUGGAAAAGAAUGAUCUUAUUACAGCCAAUCAGCAUGCUUAUCACAAAAACCCUUGCACUACCACUGCAUUUUUUGACAUGACCGACCAGUGGCUCAAUGCUACGGAUAAUGGCAGGUUUGUGGGUGUAUUCUUUUUAGAUUUUACUGCAGCAUUUGAUUUAGUGGAUCAUGAGAUCAUUUUGACAAAAAUGAAAUGCAUUAUGGUUUUAAGGAAGUAGCAUUGAAUUGGGUACAGUCAUAUCUAACUGACAGGAAACAGUCCACCUGUAUCAACGGGUAAUUUUCUUCCCCUCGUGCUUUAAACUGUGGAAUUACCGCAGGGCAGUUGCCUUGGGCCACUUCUUAAUUUAAUAUAUACCAAUGACCUUCCUUAUGCCUUAUCUGAAACUCAAGCUACUAUAUUUACAGAUGAUACAACAUUUUAUGCAGCAAGACAAUCGGUUCAACAGGUACAGCUUUACAAGUAGAUUUGGAGAAUAUCAGGGAGUGGGUUUGCCAGAACAAACUUGUUUUAAAUACCAAGAAAGCCAAAGUUAUGUUGGUCUGUUCCACUAAGAAAAGGCCAACAUAGCAUUGGAUACAAUUAAGUAUGGAGGGAGUACAAAUUGAGGAAGUGUCAGAAACCAAACUACCGGGACCGCAGUUAGACAACUGAGGAAGUGUCAGAAACCAAACUACCGGGACCGCAGUUAGACAACUGAGGAAGUGGCAGAAACCAAACUACCGGGACCGCAGCUAGACAACUGAGGAAGUGGCAGAAACCAAACUACCGGGAGUGCAGUUAGACAACUGAGGAAGUGUCAGAAACCAAACUACCGGGACCGCAGUUAGACAACUGAGGAAGCGUCAGAAACCAAACUACCGGGAGUGCAGCUAGACAACUGAGGAAGUGGCAGAAACCAAACUACCGGGAGUGCAGUUAGACAACUGAGGAAGUGUCAGAAACCAAACUACCGGGACCGCAGUUAGACAACUGAGGAAGCGUCAGAAACCAAACUACCGGGAGUGCAGCUAGACAACUGAGGAAGUGUCAGAAACCAAACUACCGGGACCGCAGUUAGACAACUGAGGAAGCGUCAGAAACCAAACUACCGGGAGUGCAGCUAGACAACUGAGGAAGUGUCAGAAACCAAACUACCGGGACCGCAGUUAGACAACUGAGGAAGUGUCAGAAACCAAACUACCGGGACCGCAGCUAGACAACUGAGGAAGUGGCAGAAACCAAACUACCGGGACCGCAGUUAGACAACUGAGGAAGCGUCAGAAACCAAACUACCGGGAGUGCAGCUAGACAACUGAGGAAGUGUCAGAAACCAAACUACCGGGAGUGCAGCUAGACAACUGAGGAAGUGUCAGAAACCAAACUACCGGGACCGCAGUUAGACAACUGAGGAAGCGUCAGAAACCAAACUACCGGGAGUGCAGCUAGACAACGGAGGAAGUGUCAGAAACCAAACUACCGGGAGUGCAGCUAGACAACUGAGGAAGUGUCAGAAACCAAACUACCGGGAGUGCAGUUAGACAACUGAGGAAGCGUCAGAAACCAAACUACCGGGAGUGCAGCUAGACAACUGAGGAAGUGUCAGAAACCAAACUACCGGGAGUGCAGCUAGACAACUGAGGAAGUGUCAGAAACCAAACUACCGGGAGUGCAGUUAGACAACUGAGGAAGCGUCAGAAACCAAACUACCGGGAGUGCAGCUAGACAACUGAGGAAGUGUCAGAAACCAAACUACCGGGAGUGCAGUUAGACAACUGAGGAAGUGUCAGAAACCAAACUACCGGGACCGCUGUUAGACAACUGAGGAAGUGGCAGAAACCAAACUACUAGGAGUUCUCUCUCUCUUCCCUCCUCUCUCUCUCUCUCUCUUCCCUCCUCUCCCCGCUCUCUCUCUCCUCUCUCCCCAAAAGAGACACCUGUUUGAACUCUCUCUCUCUCUCUCUCUCUCUCUCUCUCUCUCUCUCUCUCUCUCUCGCGCUCUCUCUCUCUCUGUCACUCUCUCUCUCUCUCCGUCUCUCCCUCCCCUCUCUCUCCCUCCCCUCUCUCCCUUCCCUCUCCCCCUCGCCUCUCUCCCUCCCCUCUCUCUCUCUCCCUCCCCUCUCUCCCUUCCCUCUCCCUCCCCUCUCUCCCUUCUCUCCCUUCCCUCUCCCCCUCGCCUCUCUCCCUCCCCUCUCUCUCUCUCCCUCCCCUCCCCUCUCCACCUCCCCUCUCCCUCUCCUCCUCUCCCUCCCCCUCCUCUCCCCCCUCUCUCUCCCCCUCCUCUCCCCCCUCUCUCCUCCCUCCCCAAUAGUGACACCUGUUUGAACUAU